ensembl:rRNA 5S_rRNA 5S ribosomal RNA
GUCUAUGGCCACACCACCCUGAAAGCGCCUGAUCUUAUCUGAUCUCGGAAGCUAAGCAGGGUCGGGCCUGGUUAGGACUUGGAUGGGAGAAACUUUCUACACCUCAGGAGAUACCUGAUGGGCAUCACCA